GGCUUAACACAUGCAAGUCGAGCGGAGAUGAGGUGCUUGCACCUUAUCUUAGCGGCGGACGGGUGAGUAAUGCUUAGGAAUCUGCCAUUUAGUGGGGGACAACAUUCCGAAAGGAAUGCUAAUACCGCAUACGUCCUACGGGAGAAAGCAGGGGAUCUUCGGGCCUUGCGCUAAAUGAUGAGCCUAAGUCGGAUUAGCUAGUUGGUGGGGUAAAGGCCUACCAAGGCGACGAUCUGUAGCGGGUCUGAGAGGAUGAUCCGCCACACUGGGACUGAGACACGGCCCAGACUCCUACGGGAGGCAGCAGUGGGGAAUAUUGGACAAUGGGCGGAAGCCUGAUCCAGCCAUGCCGCGUGUGUGAAGAAGGCCUUUUGGUUGUAAAGCACUUUAAGCGAGGAGGAGGCUACUAGUACUAAUACUACUGGAUAGUGGACGUUACUCGCAGAAUAAGCACCGGCUAACUCUGUGCCAGCAGCCGCGGUAAUACAGAGGGUGCGAGCGUUAAUCGGAUUUACUGGGCGUAAAGCGUGCGUAGGCGGCUUUUUAAGUCGGAUGUGAAAUCCCCGAGCUUAACUUGGGAAUUGCAUUCGAUACUGGGAAGCUAGAGUAUGGGAGAGGAUGGUAGAAUUCCAGGUGUAGCGGUGAAAUGCGUAGAGAUCUGGAGGAAUACCGAUGGCGAAGGCAGCCAUCUGGCCUAAUACUG
rnacentral:rRNA from 1 species